rnacentral:rRNA from 1 species
UACGUAGGAGGCAAGCGUUGUCCGGAAUUACUGGGCGUAAAGCGCGUGUAGGUGGUGGGACAAGUCUGCUGUGGAAGCGCCUGGCUUAACCGGGCGAGGUCGGCGGAAACUGUCCGACUCGAGGACGGUAGAGGGGGGUGGAAUUCCCGGUGUAGUGGUGAAAUGCGUAGAGAUCGGGAGGAACACCUGUGGCGAAGGCGGCCCCCUGGGCCGGCCCUGACACUGAGACGCGAAGGCGUGGGGAGCGAACAGG